ensembl:lncRNA LINC01192 long intergenic non-protein coding RNA 1192
GCUGGGAGUGGGAAAGAGGUGGCAUCGGCGGUUCAAGACUGAGUUUUCUAUCUCUUCAGUGCCUCUUUCAACAAUGAAGAUCAAACCAGGUUUUGUGCAAAUAUCUGCUGAGUGAACUACUUAUUUGAAAAUACAUCAUUGGUUAAUAUUCCCUUUUGCUCAUUGAAAUCUCAAAGACUACAGACCCCGCACAAGACAUUCUGACAUUCCCGUCUUUGAAAUGAAUGACAGCAAUGAUAAAUAUGGCUCACCUCCAGAGAUACAGAUCUCACAACUUCAUAUUUUUAAUAUAAAUUAUUAAUCUGAGAAGCAGAGAGAGAUAAGACCCAUGAUAAUCAAGCCAUAAACAGAUGCAUUUACUAGCUGAAUGGCCAACAAUGGAAUUCAACAAAUCCAUCUUGAGCACGGCAGCCAGGAGUGUGGUGCAAUUCCAUUAGAUGAAAGAGAUCUACACAUUCAGAAGCACAUGAUUCUUCCCCCUUCCAUGAUUCCAGUGGCCAAUAGACAAACUACAAUAAAGCCAUGCCCUGACUGGAUGUGCCUAACAUUUGUCUGGUGCUUAAAGGAGUUGGCUGCAUGCGUGGAAAUGUUGGAAAGUCACCAAAAAUAGUUCUCCAAGUCAGAAGCGGUGCAAAAGCUGCCUCAGCUCUUGGUGGAUUUUCAAUUUCUCCCAGCCAUCUCUGUUUCGCUAAAGGUUUCUGAAGACAGUGGAAUGCUGUUGAAGACACCACCUUGAUAAAACAAAAACAUCAGCCAAAUUAAAUUUAAAGGAGUUUAAUUGAGCAAAGAAUUAUUCAUGAAUCAAGCAGUCUUCCAAGCCAGAGUAGGCUCAAAUACUCCAGCACAGCCACGUGGUGGAAGAUUUAUGGACAAAAGAAGAAAAGUAACAUAUAGAAAAUGGAAAUGAGGGGAAGCUUUUUUCUCCUCCCCAUCCUGAUCACUAGUAUGAGAAGGGGUGCUAAUGGACCAGCCUUGGCCUUGCAGAUGAAGAUGAUGAAGGAAGAAGAUGUAUAAAGAACCUCUGAAAGAGUCCCAGUUUUACAUUUCAAAGUCUUUUUCCUUCUGUUGUUUAUUGUGUUGGGUUGGAGUGGAGGAUAUUUGAUGGAGAAUUGAUUCUGAAACUUGCCAAAAUAUGGAUAAUACUUUGCUCCUUUUCCAUUGUGGGUUAUCACAAAGAAGAGUUUCACUUUUAGUCAUCUAUUUACAGUCUAGAAACAGGAACAAACCCAAACCAAGCAGAAAAACAGAAAUAACCAAGAUCAAAACGGAACUAAAUGAAAUUGAAAUGAAAAAGUACAAAGAUAAAUGAAACAAAAACCUGGUUUAUUGAAAAGUUAAAUAAAAUUGAUAAUUCAAUGG